rnacentral:rRNA from 1 species
GUUAUAUGGUCAAGUGAAGAAGCGCAUACGGUGGAUGCCUUGGCAGUCAGAGGCGAUGAAAGACGUGGUAGCCUGCGAAAAGCUUCGGGGAGUCGGCAAACAGACUUUGAUCCGGAGAUCUCUGAAUGGGGGAACCCACCUAGGAUAACCUAGGUAUCUUGUACUGAAUCCAUAGGUGCAAGAGGCGAACCAGGGGAACUGAAACAUCUAAGUACCCUGAGGAAAAGAAAUCAACCGAGAUUCCCUUAGUAGUGGCGAGCGAACGGGGAUUAGCCCUUAAGCUUCAUUGAUUUUAGCGGAACGCUCUGGAAAGUGCGGCCAUAGUGGGUGAUAGCCCCGUACGCGAAAGGAUCUUUGAAGUGAAAUCGAGUAGGACGGAGCACGAGAAACUUUGUCUGAACAUGGGGGGACCAUCCUCCAAGGCUAAAUACUACUGACUGACCGAUAGUGAACCAGUACCGUGAGGGAAAGGCGAAAAGAACCCCGGAGAGGGGAGUGAAAUAGAACCUGAAACCGUAUGCGUACAAGCAGUGGGAGCCUACUUGUUAGGUGACUGCGUACCUUUUGUAUAAUGGGUCAGCGACUUAUAUUCAGUGGCAAGCUUAACCGUAUAGGGUAGGCGUAGCGAAAGCGAGUCUUAAUAGGGCGUUUAGUCGCUGGGUAUAGACCCGAAACCGGGCGAUCUAUCCAUGAGCAGGUUGAAGGUUAGGUAACACUGACUGGAGGACCGAACCCACUCCCGUUGAAAAGGUAGGGGAUGACUUGUGGAUCGGAGUGAAAGGCUAAUCAAGCUCGGAGAUAGCUGGUUCUCCUCGAAAGCUAUUUAGGUAGCGCCUCAUGUAUCACUCUGGGGGGUAGAGCACUGUUUCGGCUAGGGGGUCAUCCCGACUUACCAAACCGAUGCAAACUCCGAAUACCCAGAAGUGCCGAGCAUGGGAGACACACGGCGGGUGCUAACGUCCGUCGUGAAAAGGGAAACAACCCAGACCGCCAGCUAAGGUCCCAAAGUUGUGGUUAAGUGGUAAACGAUGUGGGAAGGCUUAGACAGCUAGGAGGUUGGCUUAGAAGCAGCCAUCCUUUAAAGAAAGCGUAAUAGCUCACUAGUCGAGUCGGCCUGCGCGGAAGAUGUAACGGGGCUCAAACCACACACCGAAGCUGCGGGUGUCACGUAAGUGACGCGGUAGAGGAGCGUUCUGUAAGCCUGUGAAGGUGAGUUGAGAAGCUUGCUGGAGGUAUCAGAAGUGCGAAUGCUGACAUGAGUAACGACAAUGGGUGUGAAAAAUCACCCACGCCGAAAGACCAAGGGUUCCUGCGCAACGUUAAUCGACGCAGGGUUAGUCGGUUCCUAAGGCGAGGCUGAAAAGCGUAGUCGAUGGGAAACAGGUUAAUAUUCCUGUACUUCUGGUUACUGCGAUGGAGGGACGGAGAAGGCUAGGCCAGCUUGGCGUUGGUUGUCCAAGUUUAAGGUGGUAGGCUGAAAUCUUAGGUAAAUCCGGGGUUUCAAGGCCGAGAGCUGAUGACGAGUCGUCUUUUAGAUGACGAAGUGGUUGAUGCCAUGCUUCCAAGAAAAGCUUCUAAGCUUCAGGUAACCAGGAACCGUACCCCAAACCGACACAGGUGGUCGGGUAGAGAAUACCAAGGCGCUUGAGAGAACUCGGGUGAAGGAACUAGGCAAAAUGGCACCGUAACUUCGGGAGAAGGUGCGCCGGCUAGGGUGAAGGAUUUACUCCGUAAGCUCUGGCUGGUCGAAGAUACCAGGCCGCUGCGACUGUUUAUUAAAAACACAGCACUCUGCAAACACGAAAGUGGACGUAUAGGGUGUGACGCCUGCCCGGUGCCGGAAGGUUAAUUGAUGGGGUUAGCGCAAGCGAAGCUCUUGAUCGAAGCCCCGGUAAACGGCGGCCGUAACUAUAACGGUCCUAAGGUAGCGAAAUUCCUUGUCGGGUAAGUUCCGACCUGCACGAAUGGCGUAACGAUGGCGGCGCUGUCUCCACCCGAGACUCAGUGAAAUUGAAAUCGCUGUGAAGAUGCAGUGUAUCCGCGGCUAGACGGGAAGACCCCGUGAACCUUUACUGUAGCUUUGCACUGGACUUUGAGCCUGCUUGUGUAGGAUAGGUGGGAGGCUUUGAAGCGUGGACGCCAGUUCGCGUGGAGCCAUCCUUGAAAUACCACCCUGGCAUGCUUGAGGUUCUAACUCUGGUCCGUGAUCCGGAUCGAGGACAGUGUAUGGUGGGCAGUUUGACUGGGGCGGUCUCCUCCUAAAGAGUAACGGAGGAGUACGAAGGUGCGCUCAGACCGGUCGGAAAUCGGUCGCAGAGUAUAAAGGCAAAAGCGCGCUUGACUGCGAGACAGACACGUCGAGCAGGUACGAAAGUAGGUCUUAGUGAUCCGGUGGUUCUGUAUGGAAGGGCCAUCGCUCAACGGAUAAAAGGUACUCCGGGGAUAACAGGCUGAUACCGCCCAAGAGUUCAUAUCGACGGCGGUGUUUGGCACCUCGAUGUCGGCUCAUCACAUCCUGGGGCUGAAGCCGGUCCCAAGGGUAUGGCUGUUCGCCAUUUAAAGUGGUACGCGAGCUGGGUUUAGAACGUCGUGAGACAGUUCGGUCCCUAUCUGCCGUGGACGUUUGAGAUUUGAGAGGGGCUGCUCCUAGUACGAGAGGACCGGAGUGGACGAACCUCUGGUGUUCCGGUUGUCACGCCAGUGGCAUUGCCGGGUAGCUAUGUUCGGAAAAGAUAACCGCUGAAAGCAUCUAAGCGGGAAACUUGCCUCAAGAUGAGAUCUCACUGGGAACUUGAUUCCCCUGAAGGGCCGUCGAAGACUACGACGUUGAUAGGCUGGGUGUGUAAGCGUUGUGAGGCGUUGAGCUAACCAGUACUAAUUGCCCGUGAGGCUUGACCAUAUAACACCCAAACA